rnacentral:lncRNA from 1 species
GACGGAGGGCUGGUGUGUUCGCGGAGCGCCGGAGCCUACCGGUGCGUGUUCCUGAACAUUGGGCGUACAGUUCCCUGAACAUUUGCUUGGGUUCGUUGCUCUCUACGCACGGGUUCGUUUCCGAUCGAGCACACAGCCUUGAUUGAUUGCAUGAAGAAGCUUUGUUCAUUUGUUGUGCCGGGUUGACUAGGUUGAUAAAGAAAUUCAG